rnacentral:rRNA from 1 species
CCUACGGGUGGCAGCAGUGAGGAAUAUUGGUCAAUGGGCGAGAGCCUGAACCAGCCAAGUCGCGUGAGGGAAGACGGUCCUAUGGAUUGUAAACCUCUUUUGUCGGGGGGCAAAAAGGCCUCGUGAGGCCACAAGUGAGAGUACCCGAAGAAAGAACAUCGGCUAACUCGGUGCCAGCAGCCGCGUAAAUACGGAGGAAGCGAGCGGGAUUCGGAUUGAUUGGGUGGAAAGGGUGCGUAGGCGGACUGGAAAGUCAGCGGUAAAAUCAAGAGGCUCAACCUCUUUCCGCCGUUGAAACUGUCGGUCUUGAGUGGGCGAGAAGUAUGCGGAAUGCGUGGUGUAGCGGUGAAAUGCAUAGAUAUCACGCAGAACUCCGAUUGCGAAGGCAGCAUACCGGCGCCCGACUGACGCUGAGGCACGAAAGCGUGGGUAUCGAACAGGAUUAGAUACCCCAGUAGUC